GGGAGUCAGGAACAAGAGCGGGUGGCACUGAGCUCCGCUGCAGCGGCGACCGCCUCCUCCUCUAAGAGCGAGUGUUGAAUUUUAUCAGAUGAUUUUCCUGCAGCUUUUGAUAUGGUCAUCUGGUUUUUCUUUUUUAGCCUGUUAAAUGGGAUGGGUUACAGUAACUGAUUUUUGAAUGUUGAACCAGGCUUGUAUACCUGGAUUAAGUCUCACUUGGUUGUAUGUAAUUAUUUUUAUAUAUUGUUGGAGUCAGUUUGCUAAUAUUUUGUUGACAAUUUUUACAUCCUUGUUCAUGAGAGAUGCUGGUCUGUAGUUUUCCUUUUGUCUGUGUUUGUCUCCUUUUAGUAUUAGGGUAAUGCUGGCCUCACAGAAUGAAUUCGGAAUGGUCCUUUUACCACUAUUCUGUGAAAGAGAUUGUAGAGAAUCUCUUCCUUAAAUGUUUGGUAGAAUUCAUCAUUGACACACCUGGGCCUGGCGUUGUUUGUUUUGAAAAAUUACUAUUAAUUCAGCCUUCUUAAUUGAUACAGUCCUAUUCAGAGUGUCUACUUGUCUUUCCAAGUUUUAACAGAUUGUCUUUUAGGGAAUCAAUUCACUACAUCUAGGUUAUCAAAUUUGUGAGCGUAGUCAUUUGUAAUACUCUUUUAUUCCUUUGAUGUCCAUGGGAUUAGCAGAGGCGGCUUCUUUCAUUUCUGAUAUUUAAUAAUUUGUGUCUUGCCUUUUGCUAUUUUUUAACCUGUGUAGAGACCUAUCUCCAGUACUCUUACCUGGAAAAUCCCAUGGACGGAGGAGCCUGGUAGGCUGCAGUCCAUGGGGUCGCUAAGAGUUGGACAUGACUGAGUGAAUUUACUUUUACUUUUCACUUUCAUGCAUUGGAGAAGGAAAUGGCAACCCACUCCAGUUUUUGUUCUUGCCUGGAGAAUCCCAGGGACAGGCUUGCCUGGUGGGCUGCCGUCUAUGGGGUCUCACAGUCGGACACGACUGAAGCGACUUAGCAGCAGCAGCAUCAGAGACCUAUCAAUUUACUUGAUUUUUCAAAGGACCUGCUUUUGCUUUGUAAGCAAGAUUAAGAGCCCAGGGUAUCAAAUGGCAGUAUUCAUCUAUAGAUGAGUAGAAUUAUCACUUUGGAUCUAAUACACGUGAAUUUGGCAGGUAUAAAAUAAGUGUUAGCUAGUUUUCUCUAAGCAUUCCUAUAAUAAAGUCAACAGGACAUUGUACUAUUAUUCAAAGUGUUGUAAUGUCGUUAAAAACAUUGCAGUUAAAUUUUGUUAGUGUUUUUAAGUAUUCUUCAAAUUGGCUCAUUACGUUCUUGAAGAUGACAAUAUUAUUUUUACUAGAGUAGAUAAAGCUUAUGAAAGAACGGGUUUCAAAAAAUUUUUAUAGGUAAUACUUUAAUAAAAAUAGGUUUUUUCCUUGGUGAUAUAACUAACAUUUAUUUUCUGUUUA